rnacentral:rRNA from 1 species
UACGUAGGGUGCGAGCGUUAAUCGGAUUUACUGGGCGUAAAGCGUGCGCAGGCGGCCCGUUAAGACAGGUGUGAAAUCCCUGGGCUCAACCUAGGAAUUGCGCUUGUGACUGGCGGGCUCGAGUACGGUAGAGGGGGGUGGAAUUCCUGGUGUAGCAGUGAAAUGCGUAGAGAUCAGGAGGAACACCGAUGGCGAAGGCAGCCCCCUGGACCUGUACUGACGCUCAUGCACGAAAGCGUGGGGAGCAAACAGG